GGAUGUGAGGGCGAUCUGGCUGCGACAUCUGUCACCCCAUUGAUCGCCAGGGUUGAUUCGGCUGAUCUGGCUGGCUAGGCGGGUGUCCCCUUCCUCCCUCAGCGCUCCAUGUGCGUCCCUCCCGAAGCUGCGCGCUCGGUCGAAGAGGACGACCAUCCCCGAUAGAGGAGGACCGGUCUUCGGUCAAGGGUAUACGAGUAGCUGCGCUCCCCUGCUAGAACCUCCAAACAAGCUCUCAAGAAGGAAUAGUUUCAGUUUGGAAUAGUUUCAGAAGCAACUCUUUGUACCUGUGGUAGAAUUUGG
rnacentral:snRNA from 1 species